rnacentral:rRNA from 1 species
GACGAACGCUGGCCGCGUGCUAACACACAUGCAAGUCGAACGAUGAAGCGCUGUUUUUUUGGGGGUGGGUUAGUGGGGAAAACGGGAGAAAAAUACGCGGGACACCUGCCCCUCUGCUUCGAUAAGCUUUUUGAAAACGGGCUCAUACCCCGGAUGUGCCUGUGUGGUCGUGUGUGGGGGGGGAAAAAUAUUUUUUUCGGCGGGGGAGGCUCUCGCGGCCUAUCCUUUUGGGGGGGGGGUGACGCCCUCCCGGGGCGUCCACGGAGACCCGGCCUGAGAGGGGGCGGCCACACUCUGGGUGUGAUACACGCCCCACACUCCUACGGGAGGGCGCAGUGGGGAUAUUUUACAAAAUGGGCGCACCCCAUAUGCCGCCACCCCGCGUGGGAUAGGGAGUUUUUGGGUUUGAAACCCUUUUUCGGCGGGAGAAGGGUCUCCUUUUGGGGGGUUUGAGGACACGUCAAAAAAACGCCCGGUAACACUACGCCCGGGCCCCGGGAAAACGUGGAGGGCGCACGCUUUUCCCAAAUUUAUGGGGUAAAGGGCUCUCAGGGGGCUUUUCGCGUCUCCUGGGAAAAAACGCGGGUCAAAUCCCCUCGCGCACAGGGACACGGACGCUUGGAGUGCCAGGGUGUCUUUAAAUUCCGGGUAGCGGGGGAAUCGCCGAUUUUGGGAAAAAUCUCGUGGGAAAGCCGGGCCCUUGCCCCUCUCAGCUGUAGGGGAAAACGUGGGAAGCAAAAUGUUAGAUAUCCUGGUGUGCCGGGCGAAUUCCAAUUGGGUCUCCCCCGGGGAUCCUAUUCUUGAGCGCGCCGACCCGGGAACCUCCAUUUCCCUAUAGGGGGCAUAUCCGCCCCCCAUGGCGGUUUUAAAAGG